AUAUUCUAGUUUCUUUUCAGAUUAUAUAUGUCUUUCACCUUUUACUAAAGAUUCCAUCAGAAAAGGUCGAUUUCUGAAUUUCAAUCUAAUUUUUUGCAGCUUCAAAGUAUUUGCCGUG
ensembl:snRNA U5 U5 spliceosomal RNA